rnacentral:sRNA from 12 species
CUGCGCCUGCAAAGGAGGCAGCCUACCCGCAUUGAUGCUUUGCAGGCAGCAGGGUAAGGUAUCCUCUGGUGAUCCGCAAUUUUGCGGAUUCAAAAUCCUCCC